CAAGGAGUAGUUUAAAAAAAAAUUUUAAUUUUGGAGAUUAAAGAUAGAGGGAUUUCUUUCCUUGA
rnacentral:tRNA from 1 species